rnacentral:rRNA from 1 species
CGAGUAGAGACUUUGUCAACGCGAGGGGGCUCAGCCCACGCUGGCUAGAAAAUCCUCGCUGCUAGUUACCAAUGCGCCCGUACCGCAAACCGACACUGGUAGGUGAUGGUAAGAACCAUAAGGGGAUCGGGAGAACCUUCGUUAAGGAACUCGGCAAAUUAGAUCCGUAACUUCGGGAGAAGGAUCGCCCCUGGUUGUGUAGGAAUUUACUUUUGAAGCAACUGGGGGCCGCAGUGAGCAGGCCCAGGCGACUGUUUAUCAAAAUCACAGGUCUCUGCAAAAGCGAAAGCUGACGUAUAGGGGCUGACGCCUGCCCAGUGCCGGAAGGUUAAGAGGAGAGGUUCACGCCUUGAAUUGAAGCCCCGGUGAACGGCGGCCGUNNNNNNNNNNNNNAACGGCGGCCGUAACUAUAACGGUCCUAAGGUAGCGAAAUUCCUUGUCGGGUAAGUUCCGACCCGCACGAAAGGCGUAACGAUCUGGGCACUGUCUCAACGGAGGACCCGGCGAAAUUGAAUUGACCGUGAAGAUGCGGUUGUCCCGUGGCAGGACAAAAAGACCCCGUGGAGCUUUACUGCAACUUGGCACUGGGAGUGGGUCUGAGAUGCGUAGGAUAGGUGGGAGGCGUUGAAGCGAGGCUUUCGGGCAGCGUGGAGCCAUCCUUGAAAUACCACCCUUCUCUGAUCUGCUUUCUAACUCGCGAGCAAGCGCGAGGACAGUGUCUGGUGGGCAGUUUGACUGGGGCGGUCGCCUCCUAAAAUGUAACGGAGGCGCACAAAGGUUCCCUCAGGGUGGAUGGAAAUCACCCGUUGAGUGCAUUGGCAUAAGGGAGCUUGACUGCGAGACCUACAAGUCGAGCAGGGGCGAAAGCCGGUCAAAGUGAUCCUACGGUACCGAGUGGAAGGGCCGUGGCUUAUCGGAUACAAGCUACCCCGGGGAUAACAGGCUUAUCUUGCCCAAGCGUCCACAGCGACGGCAAGGUUUGGCACCUCGAUGUCGGCUCGUCGCAUCCUGGGGCUGGAGUAGGUCCCAAGGGUUGGGCUGUUCGCCCAUUAAAGCGGUACGCGAGCUGGGUUCAGAACGUCGUGAGACAGUUCGGUCUCUAUCCGCCAUGGGCGUAGGAAGUUUGAGAGGAGUUGCCCCUAGUACGAGAGGACCGGGGUGAACGGACCUCUGGUGUGCGGGUUGUUCCGCCAGGAGCAUUGCCCGGUAGCCAUGUCCGGUUCGGAUAAGCGCUGAAAGCAUCUAAGUGCGAAGCCGACCUCAAGAUGAGACUUCCCACCGAGUUAAUCGGGUAAGACCACAGGAAGACUACCUGUUUGAUAGGCGCCAGGUGUAAGCGUAGUAAUGCGUUCAGCUGAGGCGUACUAAUGGUCGAGGGCUUGACCU